CCAUUGCUCUUCUUCUACACUUUUAAAACUAAAAGAAGAUAAGGAGGACAAAGUGCACGGAGAUGUUUGUUCAGGCGGAUAGACGAAUGGACUUCAUUUACAAGUAAAGGUUGGAACCAACAUGCCACGUUAUCUACAGAGUCCAGAAGGCUGAGCCCGUUGUCCUGCUGUGGGAGACGAGCAGCUUCCAGACGUCUCUUCAGGAGCUGGUGGACGAGAUGCCGGCUCAGAGUCUCCUGUCCUCAGACUCCAGAGGACAUCUUUCAUGCUGCUGGAGCUCCAAAGGUCGUGGACACGUCCUCCUCCAUGCUGUCUGUUCAUUGGUUUGGUUUCAAUGUUCUCCAUCCAGUGAGGAGUUUGGUAGUAAAAGCAUCAUUUUCAUAUACAUAUAUAAUAUAUAUCCACGUAUAAUAUAAAUAUAUUAUUUAGAGUGAAGAUAUAUGUUGGUAUUUGUUAUUGCUGGUGGUCAACGGACAUGACACGUUGACUUGAUGCCGUUUUUGAUUUGUUUCAUGUUUUGUACGACAAAAUAUCUUUGUGGCAAUUUAAAAAAGCUACAACUUUUUGCCAAAACACAAAACAGAAAAAUAAUUUUUGGUGGAAUUGUUUACUCGUUAUGAAGAUGAAAAAUGAGAGCACUGGCGUAAAAACUUACGCUAAUUAUUAUGAAUCAACUACCCAAAAGGGAAAUAUAAAAACUAUAACAUUGUAGUGUAUAAAAGAAUCAACCAUUAAAGUUCUGAUUUAUAACCCAAUAUGAAUAUCAUAACGUGGUGUUUGCUGACCCAGUAGUUUUUAAUAAUAAAAAGACAUAUUGAGA